rnacentral:lncRNA from 1 species
GCGCAGCAGCAGUCAAUGGGUUUCGUCUCCCCUGCGAUCUCUGCCUUCCCUAGGGAAAAGUGCCUCCGACUAGGGUGUACAACGCAAAAUCUGUUGACCGGCUAAGCAAUUUAGUGGUGAUUCAAGAUAAAUUGUUCACUUUGGAUAGCCAUGUUCUGUAUCUGAUAUAUGAUUUAUGUGUUGAGCUCAAACAAACAUUUGCUUCUUUGCUUGUCUUGUCUGUGACUGAAAUGCAGCGCCCGUACAGUCGAUGUGUUAGACAGGUACAGCGCAAUGAAAACAAACUGGUUUUUUCUUUAGCACCGGUCUUUUGUGUGGCACAGAUGCUUAACUAGGCACCUCUGCUAUAGAAAUAACUACUCCUUCCGUUUCAUAAUAUAAAAGUGCUUUUUACACUACACUAGUAUAAAAAGCAAUGUCUCAUAAUAUAAAAGCGCUUUUUACACUACACUAGUAUAAAAAGCGCUCUUAUAUUAUGGGACAGAGGGAGUAGCGUUUAAGCACAGUAUGUUUCAUUUUUACAAGCACCAUUCUAUGUAUGCCUUGCAUACUCCCUUCGUCCCACAACAUAAAAUGUUUUCUGAAGCUAUGUUAGCUUAAAAAACAUCUUACAAUAUAAAAUGUUUUCUGAAGCUAUGUUAGCUUAAAAAACAUCUUAUAUUACGUGUCAUAGGAGUGCCUUGGUACUUGCGUGUUUUAAAUGAAAAAAUGGGUAGGAAAUUACCUAAUUUAUACAUUAAACGACAAAAAAUGGCCUUGUAUAAAUAAAAGAGGCAUGAUAAAUGCCUGGCGCUUAUAUAUCCUUGAUAAUUGUUGCCAACCUCCUCAAUUGUAAAGUAGGAAAGUUCCCUCUAACUUACCUUGGCCUCCUUAUCUCUGACCGCAAGCUUCGCAUCACCGACUGGGAACCUCUUUGUGCUACGGUUAGCAAGAGGGUUGGGCCGUGGCGUGGCAAGUUUAUGUCAUCGGGUGCUAGACUUACGCUUAAGGAUUCUAGCUUAUCGUCGCUCCUGAUGUUCACGAUGGGCCUUUUUCUUUUGGCUAACGGUGUGCAUGCCAAGUUGGACACUCCCUACUCCAAGUUCUUUUGGAAAGGAGCUGGAGUAAAGCGCAAAUACCACUUGAUCAAAUGGGCGGCAAUAUGCAGGCCCAAAAAGUUUGGGAGCUUGGGCAUUACUAACACUAAAACUAAAAGUUUGGUAAGGAGUGCUAUGUACAUAGUUUUAGUUUUGUACAUAGCCCUCCUUACCAAAUGGAUCUGGAAGCUCUCCGAAAAUGUGUCGGACUUUGGGCAGAGCUUCUCAAGGCAAAAUAUUUUCCCAACGUAUCCCUUUUUGAAGCCACGAGUAGGGGCUCGUUUUUUUGGAAUGCAAUCCCAAAAAAUAAAACUUGCCUUUCCCUUGGGCGCACGUUUUUCCCUGGACAAUGGUAGGUAUGUUCGUUUCUGGCUUGAUAGCUGAUGUGGGGAUUCACCUUUAUGGCAGGAGUACCGUAGCCUCCUCUUUCCCAUUGUUAUUGCCAGUGAGAUGAGACACCUAUGGAAAGUUGCGGUCCCGCUUAAAGUAAAAACCUUUCUUUAGCAAUUGUUUCACAAUCGUUUGCCUACUUCCGAUAAAAUUGCCAAGCGAAAUGGACCCUCAAUCGGUCAUUGUACUAUCUGUGCAGUGAUGGAAGACGCGAACCACGCGUUUUUCUGUUGUGCUAUAGUCAUAUUUGCAUGGAGUGUCGUCCGUGAAGCUUCUAGACUAGACAAGAAUCCUCGGUCCUCUUGGACUUGGUCCAACUCCUUUCUCCCUUUCCUUUUUUUUGAGCAUCAGUACAGACACAAGCGCUCAUAUACACGCGCAUACACUCACCCCUAUGAACGCACACACACCCUACCCCUAUGAGCACCUCCGAGAGACUGAGCUGGCAUAUCAUCUUGAAAUUUACGAAGUCAUCGUAGGCGCCUCGUCGUCGACGGGAACGUCUCCUCCCACUGAAAGCGCAUCGCCAGAAAUCCUGAAAUAAAUCCAGGAGUAAUGCGAGCAUCAGGAUUUAAACCCUGGUGGGUUGGGAAUACCACUGCCACCUAACCAACUCAACCACAGGUUGAUUCGCCCUUUCUCCCCUUCCUGGGGGGUGGAAAUCGUGUUAUGUGGAUGUGCGUAGGGGCGCUUUUUUUUGUAUUUGUGGAAUAUUCGUAACAAGUUUAGUAUUGAAGCUGUUUUCCCUUUGCACCCGGCUAACUGCCCAUUCCAAACUAAUCUCUAUAUGCAGCAGCGGCGGCCGCUGGGGAAGGCAAGAGACAGUGAGCAGACGGAGAUGGCGACCGGCAAACUUCGUCAGGUUUACACCAUGGCUAGGUCGACCAUCGAAGCUUAGGGAAGCUCUUUUAUUUUGGAUUCCGCUAUGAGGCUGCGUGCUCUUCGAGGUCUGAUGCCUCUCGCUUUGUUACCUCAGUCUGUUUGUGACUUAUGACUACGCUGGUUCUGUUAGUAUGUUGGAUCUUGGAUGCAGUCGUUCUAAAAAAUUUUACUAGUGUAGUCGACGAGUGAAGUUUGGCCGCCAAUAGGAGACAUCCAUCUCGUAGGGGAAGAAGACGAGCACGUCCCCGGGCGGGAUCUUGCAAACCCCGCGGACCCUCCUGGCCGCCAGCUCGAGCAUGAAGUACCACGACGGUGAGGGCCCCUCCGCUCCCGGCAUCCGCACGAAGACGUAGCCGCUCCGCUUGUCUCGCCAAACCACCGCAGCUCCAGCCGCUCGCUCCACUGCCCAGCUGGCCGCCGGAUGCUCUCCGGCUGGACCAGGACCUGCUUGGACCAGCCUCCGCCCUCGCGGGAGCCAGACAGCGUCCAGAGUGAUAUCUCCAGCCCGGUGGCGACGAGCAGUCCCGGCUGCCUCGCGUGGCCGCCGUCGGACACCAGGAGGACUUCCUCGGGUCCGCGCCCACGCAGUGCCUCGCCGCAGUGACCGUCGAUCUUAGUGACGGACGCCUGGAGCGGCGCGUGUGACAACUUGAGGACGAAGUGGCACUCGACCGACCUGCACAGCCAGUGGGUGUCACCUUGGAGAACGACUGGAGGGUGCAGGAGCGCGGCAUCCUGAGGGCACGGAGCUACCGCGGUCUCGGCGAUGGCUUGCCACAGCCUGGCGUGCUCGGCCGGCGAGAAGGCCUGGGUCUUUAGGUGACCUGAAGACAACUCCGCGGCGAGCAGGCGGUAGCGGCGGCCGUCGCCGGUGAGCAGGACGAACGACUGGGCAUUGAUCCCAGGUGGCCCAAAGCAGUGGAUGUAGCCCGUCAUAGGGUCGAACACACAGGCGCCCGCCGGUUCAGUCUCGGGGGUGGCGUCGGAGCGGAGGGCGACGAGGCCGUGCCGCGCUGCCAGGACGGGGUGGUAGAAGUCGAAGAGGGUGGUGUACUUGGACAGAAAGGAGCGGAACGGCUCGGGGGGCGGCUCCUUGGAGCGGCCGGGGACGACGAACCGCGGGUGCUCGGCCGCCGCCGCGCGCAGGUUCUGGAUGAACAGGCCGGGGACGAGGAACCGCGGGUGCUCGGCCGCCGCCGCGCGCAGGUUCUGGAUGAACAUGCCGCGGAACAGCGCGGGCACGAACCGGUCGGCGCCUCGGAGGCGGAGCGGGGAGAGGAAAGCCGGGUCGGCGAUCUGGCGCCGAAGGGCCUUGCAUGUGGCGGCGCAGCGCACGAGGGUGACGGGGUCGGAGCGCGCCGCGAUCUCGAGCAGGAGGUCCGCCGGGAGGAUCGAGGAAGACAUUGACAUGUUGGAUGGUUCCAUGUUGUUUUUUCUCUUUUUGAGGGACGGUUCCAUAGUUGAUGAGAUUGGUAUUGUGUAUGUAUGCUAGAGGACGAUACAUACCUCUAUAUCGAGCGAUUAGGGCCGGCCCAUUUCGGACUCCACCCAAACCUUUCUGUGUCCGGUUUUGGAAAUGUUCCACGGGUUUCCACAUGGUUUAUUCCCGUUUUAUUUUCUCUUCAUUUUUUCUUUCCCUUUUUUCCAAUUUCUUUUUUUCCUUUUUAUGUUUUUCGGAUUCCUUUUUUCCUUCUCAUUCCUGUUUUAUUUUCUUUCAUUCUCGUUUUUUGUUUUUCAAAAGAUGUUUGACAAUUUAAAACAUGUUCACCUUUCAAAAAUGUAUUCCUUUUUCAUAAAAUGUUCCAGUUAUGUAAAAUUCAGAAAUUUAGAAAAGUCAGAAAGUACAACUUUAUGUUCGCCUCUUACAAAAAAUGUACAAAAAUUCAAAAAACUUAAUAAUUUCAAAAUUACCAUAAAGUUUUGCAUUUGCAAAAAAAAUUCACAAAUUUGAAAAUUUUCGCUAAUUUCAGGAAAUGUUCCUGUUUUUCAAAAUUUGUUCACAAAUUCAAAAACAAUAUGUUUUAUAAAUUGUCCACAACUUCAGAAAAUGUUCAGGCAAUUUCAUAAAAUCUUUGCUUUUUUGAAAUCUGGAAAUUGUUUUUUGUUUUCUAAAAGAAUUUUUGGAAAUUGCAUAAAUUGCUCAUAGUUUUGAAAAAAUGUUCUCACUUCAAAUGUUUGUCACAAAUUCAAAAUAGUUUCUAAGUAUGUUCAAAAGUUUCACAAAUGAUUUUUUUUCAAGAGUUUCAUAAAUUGUUCAGAAUUUUACAAAAAUGUCCCCGCUUGCAAAUUUUGCUCACAAAUUCGAAAUGUGUUCUCUUUUUAAAAAAAAAUUGUUCUCAAUUCAAAAAAUGUUUCACAUGUUUCGAAGUUAUUCACAAAUUCAAACAUUGUCCACCUUUUUAAAAAUCAAAAUCGCAUUUGUCAAAAUUAUUCGGAGUUAUAAAUACUUGGAAUUUUCAAGAAAUGUUUUUAAAGAAAUAAGUAAUAUUCCAAACUGGCGCUGCUAUUAAUUCUUAAACUCUUCUCAAGACGUAUUAGACGCAUACCCUUACAAGCUUGUUUGGCUAGCUACGUUUGCUGGUGAGCAAAUGGUCGCGAGUUCCAUUCCAGCAAUGUGCACUGCAUUUUUGGCAGGGAGCUCCUAAAUUGGCGCGUUCAAGGCCGUUCGCAUGAGCCAGCCCACUAGCAUCCUCGCUUGCUCCAAAAUAACACCAAAUGGUCUCUACUACCUAAAGACUGGUCGCUUGCUCAAAAAGAAUAAUCAGAAAAUCCCAAAAAACGUAAAAAUUCAAAAACAAAAUAAGGAAUUCAUAAAAGUUCAAGCAUUUGAAAACACUCAAAAACGUUCAUGAACUCAAAAAUAGUUAAUUAUUUUGAAAAAUCUUUCACCAAUAUGGAAAAAUAGUUUGUGAAUUCGAAAAAAGUUAAUCAAUUUUGAAUAAAAAUUUCAAUGAUUUUUAAAAAAGUUUAUCGAUUUUGAAAAAAAAAUCAAAAAUUGUAAAAAUAAAUUUUCAUCAAUUAUGAUAAAAAAUUCAUCAAUUUUGAAAAACAGUUCAACGAUUUUGUAAAAAGUUUGCAAACUUUUAAAAAUAGCUCAUCGAUUUGAAAAAAAGUUUAUAAAUUUUGAAAAAAGAUUAUGAACUUUAACAAAAAGUUCAUCAGUUCUAAAAAAGAUUAUGAACUUUAACAAAAAGUUCAUCAGUUCUAAAAAAGAUUUAUUGAAUUUUUGAAAGAUGUUUCAUCGAAUCUGAAAAUAAUCUGCAUUAUUAAAAAGAAAAAGAAAAGGGGGAAAGGGAAAAGGGAAAAAGGGAAAUAAUACAGAAUAAACAAAUAAGAAGAAGACCAGUCCAGGAAAAACAAAAUAAUAAACAAAAAAAAUCGGCUGGGAAGCUUCUGGAAGCUUGCCAAAACCGGAAAGGGAUCUCUCUCGUGGCACCCAUAGAUGGGCCGGCCCAGGUAAGAUGCCUUCAGCGCCAGUUAAUGAAUUGCACGUUAACGGGCCUGAAGGCAUCAAAUAGGAAAUGCCACGUCAAUGAUCCGGGAAUUGUUGGAAGUUGAGUGAGCGCCCUUCUAUACUAGGGAUCCGGUUUGCCUGCUCCCUUCCCAUGCUCCCAUAUACUAGAGGGAUACGCACGCGUUGCUGCGCGAGUUUCCAAAGCUUGCGACAGACUUGUAGCCAGCACGCGCGUCGCUCCUAUGGUUCCUUUCUCAUGCUCUCCUAGUCACCAUGCAUCAUACACUCCCUCCAUCCGAAAAAGGAUGUCGCGUGUGUAAUACAAUGCUUAUUUUUUAAAAGGCCCUCGUACACUCAAAGCUGUGAAACAAGGUCCCUAUCUCCUUCCUUCGUGCCCCGACCGUCGCCCCCUGCCACCCCGCGGCCGGCGACAGGUGAAAAACAAAUGUUCUGCCAUCAGAUAUAUAAAUAGUAAAACCGAAAAAAUGAGUCCCACCACCUACUAAAAUAAACGAGUGAAUUAAACAAGGAGAGGCCGUCACCGAGGAUUUCAUUUUUUUAGGCCGAGCAAAUAUAAACUGGGCUUUGGCCUGCCCAGCCUAGUACAAAGAACAACUAAGAAAAGAGAACCAGAAGGUCGAGAGCCAGCUUCCCGUAAAGAAAAGAAAAAAGGUCCAGGGUCAUCCAUCAGGCGAAGAUCUUCUCCGGUGAGCGCCACGGCAUGGACUUCCCUGGUGAAGCUCUGCUUCGCCUGAGCCUUAAAGCUGCGCCCUGCCAUGUAGCGUGCGACGGUGACCGUCGCAUUCCCUGUGCUCAGCCGGACAGUCAUCAUGAUCCUUACUGCUGAGCAGUGUUUGCCGGUGUGGAGGGCAGAGGCCAUUCAGUGGAUGCCACACGGAUUGGCUGGGUAUUUUUGCAGACUCGGUUACAUCCCACAGUCACCGCUCCUCCGAAAUGCAGGGAUGGAACUGAUCAUGUCUUUGGCCUGCGCCGCGCGUUCCAUCCUCUGCUGACCAAACUCUUAUUAGGCUGAUUGAAAGGUUUCUGUUUUGGCAAAAUUUGGCGCCGAAUUCCUGGAAGAGGAACAACAAACCGAUCACUGAAACUCUGGAGGACAAGACAUGAAUUCUUGUUAACAAUCAAGAUGAGAUAGUAUUUCAAGGUGCUUUUUUAAACAAAAUUAAAAAGGAAGCUAUUCUAUACCGAUCAACUGAAAAAAAAA